rnacentral:rRNA from 1 species
GGAGUUAGCCGGUGCUUCUUCUGUGAGUGAUGUCCUUCCUGCCGGCUAUUAACCCGCAGGCCUUCUUCCUCACUGAAAGUGCUUUACAACCCGAAGGCCUUCUUCACACACGCGGCAUGGCUGGAUCAGGGUUGCCCCCAUUGUCCAAUAUUCCCCACUGCUUCCUCCCGUAGGAGUCUGGGCCGUGUCUCAGUCCCAGUGUGGCUGAUCAUCCUCUCAGACCAGCUACGGAUCGUCGCCUUGGUGAGCCGUUACCUCACCAACCAGCUAAUCCGACAUAGGCUCAUCCGAUAGCGCGAGGCCCGAAGGUCCCCCGCUUUCCCCCGUAGGGCGUAUGCGGUAUUAGCCUGGGUUUCCCCAGGUUAUCCCCCACUACCGGGCAGAUUCCUAUGCAUUACUCACCCGUCCGCCGCUCGCCACCAGGGAGCAAGCUCCCCGUGCUGCCGCUCGACUUGCAUGUGUUAGGCCUGCCGCCAGCGUUCAAUCUGAGCCAUAAUCAAACUCUGA